AAUGUGUCUCAAUCUGUUCAUAGGAUAAAUUUACAGCAAUUUAUAAGUAAUUAUUAUUUAUUAUUAGUGGAGUAGUGGGGAUACUCAUAGUUAAGGCUGCUGUAAUGGCUUCAUUAAGACUCUGUUUUCAGUCACACUAUUUUUCCAAAGACUCCUGGAGCCAAAAUUAUCCACGUUUCUGCCCAAGGGUGAUUUCUUUUAAGUUCAAGACAAAGUAAUUCAACCAUUUUUGAGUAUGAGGGAAGUGAAAAAUACGCUACCAAUUAUUUUUAAAAAGAAAGAAAAAGGUAAACUUUCUUUUUAAAUAGUACAAUACCAUAUUUUUCAUCUUAAUAACAAUAAAAAUGGUAACCUCUUCAAAAAUUUAAAUAUACAGACAUUUUCUCGCCAUUCUUAAUGCUAUGUAGCUGGAGGUCAGUGAAGACUUGUAGACCAGCUGAUAAUUUACUGCUCCAAUAUGACUGUUCUUCUACUUUUUGCUAUAAUCUGUAGUUUUAGACCUUUUACAUUCUUGAUUUUUUUACCUUUUGGGUUACUUUCAGUGUCUUUCCAUAUAAUUUAUUUUUCAUGGCCAAGAUUUCACAGAUCAUAAGUACAGUGUCCAAGAAGGAAAAAGAAAGUAUGCUUUUUGUCAGUAGUUGAUGCCUCUAACUAAGAAAAAAGAGGAGUCGUUAAGUUCAAUAUCUAUCAUGAGGAGGGAAACUAUGCCAGUGUCCUAUGAUUUUGAAUUCUCACCUUGUUCUCCACAUCCCCAACUAUAUUUCAGCACAUAAUUGUCUUUCAUUAAUGUACUAGUUAAGACAUCAAGGUCUGAAUAUCUCUAGUUGAGUAACUCUCCUACUGCUUCCUGCAUUCUGCCACUAACUGAUUCAAUUUUUAAGUCAAAAGAAGAUAGAGAGUUUAACACAGAAUGUAGAUACUUCUGAAGUAAGUCCAAGCUUUUAGAUGAAUCAAUUAGAAAUUCCAGGAAGACUGAGUAAAAGCUUGGACCAUCUAUAAAAAGUUAAAAUAAGUGCAUAAUCCUUGGUUUAAGAGGUAUGGGAGCCAAAAAAAUUAAUCUUGCAGUUAGCCAAACUGGUUUUGGCAUCUUACUUCCGAAUUGUACAAUGCCACACACCAAUAAAAAUGUUAAAAACUGAGAAAAGAGAGGCAAAAUUCCAGUAAAACAAAGAAAAAUGUUAACUUAAAUUAAGUUAUAUGUUCUGACCACCAUGACGCACACUUGAGCAUCAAUUGUUCUUUGUCAAGCUAGAGGUACCAAAAAUACCAUUUCAAAGAAAGAGUUUUUAUAGUGUAGCUCUGUGCUGAGCAAACUGCUGAAUAUCUCUCUCUAGAGGCUGUGUUUAUAUUAAAAAAACAACAGUAAAAUAGACAAAUUAUUCUGAAAGCAAUUAUGAUUGAAUAUAUACUGUGUUAACACAUAUUACUAUUAUUAUUUUGUCUCAUCCUUAAUAUCUCCUAUAAUCUUGUAACUUUCUUUUUUAAAGUGCUAUGUUUUAUUGUAGCAUCACAAUACAAUUGUAUUUAAAUUUCUUAGCUUUUUUUUUAUUACAAGUCCAGGUUAGGGGCAUUGAAAUCAUAUUCAAGUUAAAAAGAAGUCAGGAUUUUGUGUUGUGUUUUGUACUUUCCACCCAGAAAGUGUUUUGAACUUGUUAACCGGUGUAAAUUUUGGUUAUCUAGAAAAUGUUCACCUUGUUCCAUAUGCUUUCUGUCCAUGCUCUAGAUGUAACAUGGCUCAAUUUUAGAAAAAUGGGGCUAAAUUCUGCUGACUUAAGGGGAAAAGCUCAGUGGCAGAAAACAAAUUGUGCACCAAAUUAUCUAGCCUGAGUAUGUGAUGACUUGAUGCAUAAGACGGGAGGAGGAGGGGACUCAUUCCUACUUUGGAAAUGGGAGAUCAUGAACUACAAGGGAUGGGGGCAUGGAACUCAUACAAAUCAGCUCAAAUCAGCUCAAAUCAGCUCGAAUAGUCCUCCAUUGAUCCUUAGCUGCUCUCCCCCUACUGCAGCUACAGAGGCUAUAAUCACUAAAGUGACCCCUGGACAACUUCUGUCAGGGAGAAGGCAAAGUAUAGACUCUUGUACCUGGUGAGAGGGUUCAGGGGGAUCUCAUAGGGGUUUUCUGCUAUCCUCUGCACUAUCACAUACACACACUCUUGCCAGAAGAGGAUUUUUUGGUGAUAGGUGCCAUCUCCAUACUCCUGACAUUUGUUUUAGAGCUCUUAUCAGUUAAGGACACUUCGUAAGUCACACAACCCAUUCAGUCUCUUUCCAGCUGUCAGCCAAGGAGGACCUUGCCCUACAACUCCAUAAUAUAGGCCUGAUUCUCCCACUGAAGGUUACUGAAGUCAAUGGGAGUUGUUCAUAUCCUGUCAGGGAGAAUCUGGACUGCAGCAUCUUUAAGGUGUUGCCUUUCCUGAGAUCAUUCCCCAGCUGCUAACUACCAUAUACAGACCAAGGCAUUCAAAUGUUCAUAGCUGCCAACUAUGAAUAAUAAUUACUGUCACACUGUCUGGAGUGGCUCAUGACCGAGAAUGCCUAUCUCAGGGAAGACUGUCAAAAGCAGGGCAGACACCCCAAAUUGGUGGUAUGGUCUAUAAUUAAAUUUUAUCAACCCAGUACCAAAUGUGAACUCCCAAAGUACUUAGCUAAUCGUGUAAUGGAGGUACAGACAGUGCUCUUAGCCCUGGUCUACACUACAGGGUUAGGUCGAAUUUAGCUGUGUUAGGUCGAUUUUGUACUGAAUGCAUCUACACAAGCAACCCCGUUCCGUCGACCUAAAGGGCUCUUAACAUCGACUUCUAUACUCCUCCCUGGCGAGGGGAGUAGCACUAAAAUCGACCUUGCUGGGUCGAAUUUGGGACAGUGCAGACACAAAUUGACGUUAUUGGCCUCCAGAAGCUAUCCCAGAGUGCUCCAAUAUGACUGCUCUGGACAGCACUUUCAACUCUGAUGCACUAGCCAGGUACACUGGAAAAGCCCCAGGAAAUUUUGAAUUUCAUUUCCUGUGUGGUCAGCAUUGCGAGCUCAGCAGCACAGGUAACCAUGCAGUUCCCCCAGAAUCGCAAAUGAGCUCCAGCAUGGAGCGAACGGGAGACACUGGAUCUGAUUGCUGUAUGGGGAGAAGAAUCUGUUCAGGCAGAACUCCAAUCAAAAAUAAGAAAUGCUAAUAUAUGUGCCAAAAUCGCACAGGGCAUGAUAGACAGAGGCUACAACAGGGACACACAGCAGUGCCGCGUGAAAGUCAAGGAGCUCAAGCAAGCCUACCAAAAGACAAAGGAGGCAAACAGUCGCUCUGGGUCAGAGCCCCAUACAUGCUGCUUCUAUGAUCAGCUGCAUGGCAUUCUAGGAGGGACCCUUCCACUACCCCACCACUGUCCGUGGAAGGGUAGUGGGGGAAUCUCACACAACAUGGAGGAGGAUUUUGUGGAUGAGAAAGAGGAGGAGGAGGAGAAUGCGCAGCAGGUAAGCGGUGAAUCCAUUCUCCCUGGCAGCCAGGACCUUUUCAUCACCCUCCCAAGCCAACACCCUCCCAAGGCGGGAUCCCCGACCCUGAAGGCUGAGAAGGCACCUCUGGUGCAAAUGUUUCUAUGCUCCCCUAUCAUCUCCGUCCCUGAGGUUAUCGCAGAUUAGAAGGCAAAAAAAAAAUGGACUCGCGAUGACAUGUUUUCCGAACUCGUGCAGUCCUCCCGCACUGUUAGGGCACAGCUGAAUGCAUGGAGGCAUUCAGUGGCAGAGUCCAGGAAAGCAUUAAGUGAGCGUGAUGAGAAGAGGCAGGAUGCAAUGCUGAGGCUAAUGAGGGAGCAAACGGACAUGCUCAGGCGUCUCGUGGAGCUGCAGGAAAGCCAACAAGGCCGCCACUGCAUCCACUGUACAACAGCCUGCCCUCCUGCCCAAGUUCCAUGUCCUCCUCACCCAGAUGCCCAAGAACGCGGGGGUGGGUGGGGUAGGGGAGGCUCUGGGCACCCAGCCACUCCACUCCAGAGGAUGGCUCAAGCAACAGAAGGCUGCCAUUCAAACAGCUUUGAUUUGUAGUGUGGCUACAAUAAGCAAUGUGCCCUUGUCCUUCCCUUCUCCCCUCCUCCCCCACCACACCUGGGCUACCUUAUCAGUUAUCUCCUUUUUUUCAAUUAAUAAAGAAAGAAUGCAUGGUUUCAAAACAA